AGCUUACUAGCUAGUCCUCCAAUCAAAAACAACUACCCACAUUAAUAACCCCUAAAACACGUAACCCACAUUAAACAAAACAUUUUUCCCCUCUAGUAUGGGCGAUAGAAAAAGAACCCUGGAACAACAAAGAAAGUACCGCAAGGGAAUGCUGAAAAAGAAAUGAAAUAACUCAGUCAAGCCCAAAAAAGCAGAGAUUUUAACUC
rnacentral:rRNA from 1 species